GCCCAGUUGAAAGAUACUCAGGAGCAAUAUGACCCACAGUACCCCGCACUGCAGUAGUGACAUGUGAAUCUCUUUGAUCUAAUAGCUUAGCAAGACCAAAAUCUCCAACUAUAGCUUCAAAACUUUCAUCAAGUAAAAUGUUUGCUGCUUUGACAUCCCUGUGAAUUAUUUUUGGAUUACACUGUUCAUGCAUGUAUAGAAGUCCACGGGCAGCCCCAAGAGCAAUAUGAAUUCGUCUGUUCCAAUCCAAUGAUGGUUUUUCUCGAUAAGCCUCUCUCAAGCGGUCAGCAACACUGCC
rnacentral:misc_RNA from 1 species